UACGGUCGCAUCACGUUGAAACACCUGUUCCUGUAAGAUUCCAGAAGUUAAUCAACGUCAGCCUAGGUCAGUACCUAUAUGGGUGACCGUUUGGGAAUACCAGGUGAUGUAA